CCCUUAGAUGUUCUGGGCCGCACGCGCGCUACACUGACGAAUGCAACGAGCUUAUAACCUUGGCCGAAAGGUCUGGGUAAUCUCCAAAUUUCGUCGUGAUGGGGAUAGAUUAUUGCAAUUAUUAAUCUUCAACGAGGAAUGCCUAGUAAGCGCAAGUCAUCAGCUUGCGUUGAUUACGUCCCUGCCCUUUGUACACACCGCCCGUCGCUCCUACCGAUUGAAUGGUCCGGUGAAGCGUUCGGACCGUGGCCUUUGGACGGUUCGCCGUCUGUUGGCUGCGGGAAGUUCGUAAAACCUUAUCAUUUAGAGGAAGGAGAANUCGUAACA
rnacentral:rRNA from 1 species